AGCGAACGCUGGCGGCAGGCUUAACACAUGCAAGUCGAGCGGGCCCUUCGGGGUCAGCGGCGGACGGGUGAGUAACGCGUGGGAACGUGCCUUCUGGUCUGGAAUAACCCUGGGAAACUAGGGCUAAUACCGGAUACGCCCUUUUGGGGAAAGGUUUACUGCCGGACGAUCGGCCCGCGUCUGAUUAGCUAGUUGGUGGGGUAACGGCCUACCAAGGCGACGAUCAGUAGCUGGUCUGAGAGGAUGAUCAGCCACACUGGGACUGAGACACGGCCCAGACUCCUACGGGAGGUAGCAGUGGGGAAUAUUGGACAAUGGGCGCAAGCCUGAUCCAGCCAUGCCGCGUGAGUGAUGAAGGCCUUAGGGUUGUAAAGCUCUUUUAUCCGGGACGAUAAUGACGGUACCGGAGGAAUAAGCCCCGGCUAACUUCGUG
rnacentral:rRNA from 1 species